UUACGGCCAUAUCACGUUGAAACACCGGUUCUCGUAUAUUCGCCGAAGUUAAGCCACAUCAAGCCUGUUCAAUACUUUGAUGGGUGACCGCUUGGGAAUUUCAAAUGCUGUAAG